GUAACGCUUAUUAUCGGAUGGAGUAUAGAGACAGCUGAUGAAUGGUAAAAGAAAUAUUUUGUAUAUCCGCGUGUAGUGAGGAUCUCUAUGGGCCUCCAGUAAUACCGAUAAUGGAAAUGAAAAUUAUCUGAAUAUGUAUUUGGUGUAGUUGAUGGUAUUUAUGAAUGAAACAAAAUUAUCUGAAUAUGAGUACAAUAUG
rnacentral:lncRNA from 1 species